UUUUUUUUUUUUUUUUUUAAGAUUUAUUAAUUUAUUCAUGAGAGAGAGACAGAGAGAGAGAGAGGCAGAGACAUAGGCAGAGGCAGAAGCAGGCUCCACGCAGGGAGCCCAAUGCGGGACUUGAUCCCAGAUCCCAGGAUCAUGACCUGAGCCGAAGGCAGACACUCAACCACUGAGCCACCCAGGUGUCCCAUGGCAACCCCCUUUCAAUGGGUAUUUGUCAGCUCCCAUGUACCAAAUUAUUCUUUCUUUGCCCGGGGUCAACUGACUCUCAUGCAUCUUACUUCCCUGCCUCCUACUACAGCCACCCCCCUACUUACACAGAACAGGCUCUGGUCAUUCCUGUCCUAAAAGACAUUUCCUAAACUACCCCAAUUCAAGCUACACCCUCCCCUUUUCUCCUCCCCACAAUACUUCCUUCAAGAAAUGGUCCACAGUCGCUGUCCCCACUUAUGACCAGGCACUCACCCCCUUGUAAUGUGAGUUCUGCUGUUACCUCUCUGCUGAAAUUGCAGAAAGCAGAGAAAGAGGAAGAAAUCUUUUCAUAUUCCUGCUUGCUCAACAGGACUGGACAUCAGUACCUGUUAUUUUUAUAAGGUUUCCUCCCUUGGCUUUCUGGACUUUGCCUACUUCCAAUUCUCCCACUAUGGAAAUCACACAGACCUUCCCACACUUAGAGACCUAAGAAACACCUGUGAAUGACACACAGGCCCCAGUCAGCAUCCGCUUUCCCUGUAAUACUGCCACCAGCCAACCCAGGUCUCAGACUUUCUCUGAGGGAGAAAAACAACAGAAAAAAGACUCAAGUCUAAAACCUGACCAAGUUUUACACCUGUGAAGAUAAGCACACUGAUUUCCUCAACACUUACUGAUCACUUCUCAGCUAGUAGGGACUCAAGGUGCUUAAGAGACCAGUGAAACAAGCCCCGGACCUUCGACUAAGAAAUUCUGUCUAGAAGAGUCACGGAUCAACCUGAUAAAGGAUAUGAUAAAGGGGAAGGCCAGGGAGUGCCAGAGCAGCUUGCUGAGAGAAACACAAGAGGUACCCUCAGCCUCAGACAGAUCCACCGUCACCAUUUUAGUCCAGGUUCCCUGCAAUUCUCCCAACUGGUCUCCAUGUCUCCCUUUUAGACAUCCUACCCUCUUCCCAAAUCCAUUCUGCACAUUGCAGCAGGAGUGGUCUGCUUAAAAUUCCAAACAACGCUCUCUCCUGCUCAAAACCUUUCAACAGCACUGAGAAUACAGUCCUGCAUCAUCUGCCUCCCGCCGAUUUUUCUCCCUUCGGUUCACCCCAUUUUCCCUUGCACCAGUGGCCCUUCAACCACACUGAUCUUACAGUUCCUUAAACAGAAUGAGUUCUUUUCCACUACAAGGUCUCUGCACAUACCAUUCCUUUUACCUGGAAUCCUCCUGCUACCACUCUCUGUACUAAAAACAUUUUGAACUCUGGUUCUCAGCUGAAAUGUCAUUUCUUCUAUUUACUUGUUUCUAUUUCUGUCUGCCCCAUUAGAGUGUAUGGCCAAAACAAAACCAUGUCUGUGUUAGUCACUUUGUAUUCACAGUAUCUGGCAUGCAGCGCUCAAUAAAUAUUUGCCCAAUGAGGAAGUAAAGACUCUUUCCUGCUCGAGUCCUAACUGGAAGCAUCCCCUUAGGUUCACUUCCUCUCCCACUCCAUUUUCACCAGGCCAAGGCUGAUCAUGCUCUUCUAUGCCUCCACACCUGACCUCUCCUCCCAAGAUGAAGUUCUACAACUAUGAUGCCUGCAGAAAACCCCACCUGGAGUCCCUGAUACCUGCAACUGGACAUGUCUCACAACACACUCAUUAACUAUCCUCAAACGCCUGUUCAUUAUUCCAUUGCUGUUAAUGGCAUGCUCUUACAGGUGGAGUGACUUACUUCUCUCUUUCCUUAACCCACAGACAAGAACUGCUUCCAUCUCUAAAAAUACACCUGCAUGUUCUUACCUAGUCAAUUGACCUACUGCAUUAGCCUCAUUUCCCACCUCUAAUCUUUUAAAAUAUGUGUACAUCAAAGCUUAAUUCUGAUACUGACCAAUACUCCCACUGAAAUCCUUCAAUAGCUCCCUACUGCCUUCCAAAUAAUGUCCACACUACUCAAACAUGAUAGUCUAGUUUGGUGGUUAGGACCAAAAAUUCUGGAGCCACACUGCCAUGUAAAUGAAUAGGAACAAUGAAAGAUGCAGAUCCCAGAUACACCACUUAAUUUCCAUGCUACAGUUGUUCAUCUGUACAAUGGGGUAAUGAUACAAGUAUUUACCUCCAAGGGUUGCUGUAAAGAAUUAAGCGUCUAAUACAGACAGAACUCUUAGGAUAACACUUGGCACAGGUCAGUGCUAUACACAUUGUAUUUUACUGCCCCAUCCCCAAUUAGCAAUAGCCUAUAUCCCAGUCUACCUGAACCAAAUCACUCUUCCCCUAAUGCUUUUCAAACUUUCCCUUCGGAGCAAUGAGCCUCCACCACCAGCUGAUAAGCACCAGCUUGUUAAUAAGCUGCCAGUAUUACAUCCCCCUCUUCAAGGGCAUUUCCAGGCAAAAGCUUCCAUCACAAAGCUCUUUUCUCUCCAGGAGUGUCCUUAUAGCUCAUGCACUGAAAUUCCCCAGAGGUUGCUCAUCAAAGGAUUUCCAGCCCUGUUCAAAGACAGUUAGUCUACAAUUAGCCAUCCUCUUCUUCCCUCUACUUUCUCAAUCUCCUCCCAAGUUUCAGAUCAAAGACCAUCCUAAUACCAUUUUCCAUGCCCAACGGCAAAGGUGUCUUAACUCUCUUAUGUCCCUAAUUUGAGUAAAAGUUGAAACUCUUGACUACUCUCUCUACAAUGGUUCUAUUAGAUCAGAUAGUGUUUCCUUUGCACGGAAACACUUAAAAUAAUUAAAAUUAAGUUCUGUGGGGGCGCCUGGGUGGCUCAAUCGGUUAAACAUCUGUAUCUCGGUUUCAGUUCGGGUCAUGAUCACACGGGAGUUGGGCUGAGCUCAGUAUGGAGUUUGCUUGUCUGUCUCUCUCUCCCUCUGUCCCUCCCAGUGCCAGCUUUCACUUGAAUAAAUAACUCUUUUUAAAAAAUAAGAUUAAGGUUUAUAGUCUUUUUUUUUUUUUAAGAUUUUAUUCAUUCAUGAGAAGAGAGAGAGAGAGAGACAGAAACACAUGCUCCAUGAGAAGCAGGCUCCAUGCAGGGAGCCCAACGUGGGACUCGAUCCCAGGUCUCCAAGUUCACACCCUGGGCUGAACGCAGGCGCCAACCGCUGAGCCACCCAGGGAUCUCCUAUAGUCUUAUUAAGAGCAGAAUAUGUAUGGACUUCACAAUCUCUGAAGCAGCUAGCCCUUACCACCAUGACAGUGCUGCCCUCUUACCCUCUAAAGUCUCUGCUAUGCACAGGAACUUGGAAAUAAUAAAAUGUACAUAUAUAUAUUUUUAAAGAUUUUAUCUAUUCAUGAGAGAUACAGAGAGAAAGAGAGACAGAGACACAGGCAAAGGGAGAAGCAGGUUCCAUGCAGGGAGCCCGAUGUGGGACUUGAUCCCGGAACUCCAGGAUCAGGCCCUGGGCCAAAGGCAGGCACUAAACCGCUGAGCCACCCAGUGAUCCCCAUAAAACGUAUAUUAAUAACCCGCUUAUUCCUAGGGAUGGAAAAAUGAGAGUUACAACACUACCAAAAAUUUUAACCUUAAGUAAAACAAAUUAUAAAAUCUAAUGUGUAGUUUUCAAAGAAAAACCCAGUAACUUAACAUAUGGCUCUCCAAAACAAUGUAAAUUCUACUCCUUUUAAUAACUGAACUGAUACUUCAAAUAAACAUUUUUUUUUUAAUGAGAAGGAAGUCAUAAGUACCAAAGACACAAAAAUACAGCAAAAAUCAUGACAUCUUAACCCAAGGAACAGUCUUUAAAUCACCUCCUGGCUCCCCAGAAAGCUUUACCUAGGGCCCCUUACUGUCUGUCCUGCAGCUGAGAUUGUCAACAACAACAAAAAAACAUACUGAAACUUAGACAUCUUUACAAAACCAAAAACAAACACUUGUUCUC
rnacentral:lncRNA from 1 species